AUGGACGUUACCGGGGACGCCGGUGGAGGUCGCCGCCCCAACUCCCCCCUGCAGCUCCUCGAAAAGAAGGAGGAACAUCCGUGCUCCAUCUCCCCGGCUGCUGGGCUCGGGACGAAUGGGUCGGCGACGGGGGAGCUGCAGGUGCGGAAGGCGGCGCCGCCUAAGCGGACCACGAGCAAGGACCGGCAUACGAAGGUGGACGGCCGCGGCCGCCGCAUCCGGAUGCCGGCGAUCUGCGCGGCGCGGGUGUUCCAGCUGACGCGGGAGCUGGGGCACAAGACGGACGGCGAGACCAUCGAGUGGCUCCUGCAGCAGGCGGAGCCCGCUGUGAUCGCGGCAACCGGCACAGGCACCAUCCCGGCCAACUUCACCUCUCUCAACAUCUCCCUCCGCUCCUCCGGCUCCAUGCUCUCCACCAUACCUGCCCACCUCCGCGCCGCCGGCCUGCCCGGCUCUCGUUUUGGAGGUGGCGCACGGGCUGACGCGUGGGACCGCUUCGUCGGUCUCGGGUUCGGCGGCGGCCUCGAGAGCCCGGCAUCCACCACCACCUCCUCGUCGUCCCCGCUGCUGCUGAGCUUCCACUCUGGAAGCGUCGGCCUCGACGUUUCGCCAUCGUCGGCGACGGCCGCGGCCAACACGGAACUGUCCAGGAAGCGGCGUUGGGAGCAAGAAAUGCAGCAGCAGCGACACCAACAGCAACAGCAACAACAGUACCAGCAGCAGAUGGCCGGGUACACGCAGAGCCAAAUGCCGGGCACUGUGUGGAUGGUGCCGACGAGCCACGCCCAGGGCGCCGGAGCGGCGCCUGCCGGUGGCGGCGAGUCGAUCUGGACGUUCCCGCAACCCGGAAGCGGCGGCGGCGGCUCGGCGACCGUGUACCGCGGCGUGCCGAGCGGGCUACAUUUCAUGAACAUCCCCGCGCCGAUGGCAGUGCACGCGCAGCAGCUGGGGCUCGGCCAGGCCGGCGGAGGUGGAUCAGCAGCAGCGGGCGAGGGGCACAUGGGGAUCCUCGCCGCGCUCAACGCGUACCGCGGGCAGCAUGCAUCCGCGUUGGAGGUCACCGUGGCGGGGCACAAUGGAGCAGCUGAAGGGACUACUCACCAUCAACAUCAGAACUAG
rnacentral:rRNA from 1 species